AGGUGGAUCCCUCCUCCGGUGGGUUUUGUCAAGAUGAAUGUCGAUGCGGGUGUAUCUUCUGAUCACAAUUGCGGCACCGCAGUGGCUAUUUGUUGAGACAGAGAUGAUUCUUACCUGGGCUCUUCAGUGCUUGUGAUCCAAGGUUUGCUUGAUGCAUCCACUCUAGAAGCAAUAGCGUGUAGGGAAGCGUUAUCACUUGCAGAAGAUUUAAACUUGAAACACCUUCAUAUCACAUCUGACUGCACAAAAGUGGUGAACAGAAUAUGGGUCAAUCCUGAAGACGCUUUCGGAGGGAUCAUUAGGAAGAUAAAGCAAAGAGAACCGCCCCUUUAUUUCAUGUAA
rnacentral:rRNA from 1 species